rnacentral:lncRNA from 1 species
CUCCCCUGGCCGCAUCCUCCCUCGGCAGCACUCUCUCUUCAUGUUGCAUUCUUGCUGGUGGUGGUUGGGCUUGGUCACUUGAUACAUGUCUGAUUGAUGAACUUGAUAUUGCGACCUUUCACAUCUUUAGGUUCUGGAAGUUAGAUUAUCUUGGCCUGGAUGUGCAUACUCGCCUGGUCAAUAUGAUUUCCUGAUUUGAGCAUAUGUUCUGUGUUGCAGGUCCUUGAGUUUGGGUGUGACUGGCCAUUAAGCUUGGUGGCUCAUAAUAUUUGCUCGAUGGAAACCAAGCAUACCACGGGAGGUAAGCAUUCCCCGAUUCUGGACACUUGAAUGUCAACUUAUCUCAUCUUGGAGAUCUUCUGACGUUCUGAAUAUGUGCACUCACUGUAAUCUGUGUACUGUUUUAGAUGUGUAAUAAGUGGAUACGUCCCUAAUAGGGCACAGGUCCAUAUGGCAUCUUUCUGCAGAAAUUUGAUUUAAGUGAUCUUAUUACUGUCUUAUGCUAGCUAAUAUUUUUGCGAUCAAGGUUGUGUUGGAAGAACUGAUGGUUGGGUCCUCUGAAUAUCAUCGUGUUACAGAAACAAUGAUCUUUUCUUAGUCUACUAUAAUGACUGCCUAUUGUUGCACAACAUCCAUCCAUCCUUAUGCUAUUCGGUUAUUAUUAUUUUUGAACUGGGUUUAAUCCCUUCACAUUUCAAAGUGUUGUGUGUGCAUUCGCAUAACUACUUGUGUUACGAGUGCAGGAUUCAAAGAAUUUCUAUUGGGAAAUCAAAGGGGGCAAUAACUUCAAUUGGGAGAAGUCGCUAGAAAAGAAGGUCAGAGCGAUAACCUUGGUUAAACACAUUCGUUGUUAAUAUUUGGCAGACGUAUAGAUGAUGCCUAUGAGGCUAUGACCCAAUAUCAUUAUUCUUUAUCUUGCAGACUCAAGAAAAAUAUUAGAUUAAAUGGAUUGUACAAGAGAAUUAUUUCUACUUUGGUAUGACGAUGUUCGAAAGGGCUAGAAGUAUAAUUGAUUCUCAUACUGUUUUUUUAAGUUGAUGCUCAUACUAUUGAACUUAGCUAACUAGAUGUUUCAAAGCAAAGGCACAUGAAGAAACACAUAUUAGUUUCAACUGGUAGCUCUCAUCAAAAUUCCUAGAAAAGGUUUAGGAAUAUUUCCAUGAUAAAUUUUUAUAUUAAUUACUUGUACGGGUGAUGGUAAUGUUAACAUGUUUUUUUGGCUCCUUUGUACACGGAUUAGGCUUGUUCAGCACAACUCAUUUUCUCAAUAUUAGGCUUGUUCUUUCUGUACUGAAAACAGUAUUAGUAGUAGCAUGCAUUUUGACUCAGUUUUCUUUUGUAGGAGACCUCUACCUGGUAACCACAUUCUCCACGUGGACGUGGGAAUAAGAAAGCGUAGCAGAGACAUGAAAAGGUGGGGUGCGACCUUGAAAUGCUCAUCAAAUUGCUGGCUCCAUGUUGCCUCUCCACUGUCAUCAUACUUGUCUGCAUCAAGAAUAGUGUAGGCACUGCUGCUGGGGGAGGGGCGCCGGUUGAGCUCCGUCGGGCAGCACUUCGAGCUGCUAUAAAAAUAUCAUGAUCAUCUUUUGGUGAAUACAAAGAUGUUUGUAACCUCAUAAGCAGAGCUCUGUACUGCUGCUUGUAUAUUGAGAGAUACUACAGGAAUUUAUACACUCAUAGCUUAUCUUUCUGAUAACUGUCAUGCAUAUAUUUCAACUAAAUUAUGGUUAUUGUUUAUGUUUGUCAAACUAAGCCAUUGAU